rnacentral:rRNA from 1 species
GACAGAGGUGCCGAGCGUUAGGCGGAAUCACUGGGCUUAAAGCGUGUGUAGGCGGGUCGUUAAGUGUCUUGUGGAAUCCCACCGCUCAACGGUGGAACUGCUGGGCAUACUGGCGAUCUUGAGCCACCUAGGGGCAGACGGAACAAGCGGUGGAGCGGUGAAAUGCGUAGAUAUCGCUUGGAACGCCGACGGUGAAAACAGUCUGCUGGGGGUGUGCUGACGCUGAGACACGAAAGCCAGGGGAGCGAACGGG